rnacentral:snoRNA from 1 species
AUGGAGGUGAUGACAAUUAAAACUUGAUUGUCUGUGAUGUUCAAGUAUUCAUACUGUCUGAUCCAC